rfam:Clostridiales bacterium CHKCI006 isolate CHKC6 genome assembly, contig: {contig38}
CGCGGGAUGGAGCAGUCUGGUAGCUCGUCGGGCUCAUAACCCGAAGGUCGUUGGUUCGAAUCCUUCUCCCGCAA